AUUGAACGCUGGCGGCAGGCCUAACACAUGCAAGUCGAACGGUAACAGGGAUCAGCUUGCUGAUUCGCUGACGAGUGGCGGACGGGUGAGUAAUGUCUGGGAAACUGCCUGAUGGAGGGGGAUAACUACUGGAAACGGUAGCUAAUACCGCAUAACGUCGCAAGACCAAAGAGGGGGACCUUCGGGCCUCUUGCCAUCGGAUGUGCCCAGAUGGGAUUAGCUAGUAGGUGGGGUAACGGCUCACCUAGGCGACGAUCCCUAGCUGGUCUGAGAGGAUGACCAGCCACACUGGAACUGAGACACGGUCCAGACUCCUACGGGAGGCAGCAGUGGGGAAUAUUGCACAAUGGGCGCAAGCCUGAUGCAGCCAUGCCGCGUGUAUGAAGAAGGCCUUCGGGUUGUAAAGUACUUUCAGCGGGGAGGAAGGGAGUAAAGUUAAUACCUUUGCUCGUUGACGUUACCCGCAGAAGAAGCACCGGCUAACUCCGUG
rnacentral:rRNA from 1 species